rnacentral:rRNA from 1 species
CAGUCGCCGCGGUAAUACGUAGGUCCCGAGCGUUGUCCGGAUUUAUUGGGCGUAAAGCGAGCGCAGGCGGUUAGAUAAGUCUGAAGUUAAAGGCUGUGGCUUAACCAUAGUACGCUUUGGAAACUGUUUAACUUGAGUGCAAGAGGGGAGAGUGGAAUUCCAUGUGUAGCGGUGAAAUGCGUAGAUAUAUGGAGGAACACCGGUGGCGAAAGCGGCUCUCUGGUCUGUAACUGACGCUGAGGCUCGAAAGCGUGGGGAGCAAACAGGAUUAGAUACCCCCGUAGUCCCUGUCUCUUAUACA